UGGCUCACGCCUGUAAUCCCAACACUUUGGGAGGCUGAGGCGGGCGGAUCACUUGAGGUCAAGAGUUCAAGACCAGCCUGGCCAACAUGAUUCUACUCUAAAAGUCACCAGGAAAAAUUCAGCUCCACUGGUCCUGGCUCUAAGUCUACUAGCAAAAUCUUCCAGAGAAGUGGAAAAGCCAUCAGCCAAUGUGUUAGACUAUCAUUUCCAUGACCUUACACCUAUCAAAAAGGCACUAUUACCAGGCUUAUAGAAUUCUAAAAAAGUUGGAAACCAUUUUCCAUUAUAAAAGAAAUUCUUCCAAAUCACACAAAACACUCUGACACUUCUCCAAUUCCCCCUAUCAUGGGGCUGGCAGCAGCCGCUUUGCGUCCUGAAUGUCAUGACAGUGAUGAUAACAGUAAUGAUGAUAACAGCAAUGAUGAAGUCUCACAUUUAAAAUUUUCAAGUCACUCAUCACAUCCCAAGUCACUCCCUUCAUUACCUUUUAUUUAUACUGGAGUCAUCCUGUGUGCCUCAGUCAGACCAUUUUGUAUGUACAAUGACCGACAAUGAGAUUUAACAUGCAGUUUGCAGAUCCUCCCUUCUCUGGGUCACCUGAAAAUAAGCCACAAACAAAGGAAUGAAAUUGUUGAUGAAAAGGGAAGAGGCAAGACUCCAUAUGAAGAAUACAACUGACUCACCUGUCUGUACAUGCCUCUGUGUGUGUGUUUUAUAUUGGUGCUGGUGAAGAUAGUUCUUUAUGCUGAUGCUUAAUAAGGUGAAAUGUGUCUAUUUUCUUCCAUUGGCCCAGGCACAGAUGCGAUUAUAAUUGCUAAGAUUAUUUGCAUAUUGGCUUUUAAUGAUGCAUUUAAAAAUAUUCAUCCCAUUUACUGACUUAUGCAGGCAAUGUACUUUUGUAAAUGUGGGCCAGCAUCAUGCUUAAAUUCCCAAACCACUAUUUAUUUAAAACUCAUCACUUCAGUUUUUAUACCCUUUCUCCCCCAUAAGGGAAAAAAUAUGAUUCUGACUGUAUAAGCACCAACUAAACAGAACACAAAACAUGGCAGACGAUAAAAACAUAUUUUCACAAAUGAGACAUGUCAUUUUACCAUCGAGGAGAGAAACAAAAUAAGCUGGUUUUCAAGUUCCAUAUCUUGUGUGCUCCUUUCAGCUAAAUGCCCUUACAUCUGUAAGCCCUUGGGACAGGUUAAGGCUUUUAUUAUUAUUUUAAAGUCUUCAUAACUACAACCUAGCAUCCAAAGUGAAACAGAUGCUAUUGGAUAUGAGUAGCAUAUGCAAUGGAAAUAUUGACAUUGCCUUCCCGACAGUCAUGAGGGAUAGACCAUAGGCUUUUUGGUAACCUAUAUUUUCUAGGCCCAAAGCAGGGAAUGAGAUGGCAGGGAAAUUCAGGGUAAACUCCAAAUUUACAUAAAGUUAUAGAAGAAUAUAGAUCAUGAGUAGUGGCUAGCACCUUCCUGACUUCCAGAAAAUGGUGGUGCCGAUAUUGAACAACAGUUUGGAGAAAAUGUAAAAUGUUUACAUUUACAUUUACAGUUUAGUCUUUGAACAACAGUUUGGAGAAAAUGUAAAAUGAAAAUUUGUUAACGAACUUGUUUUUAAAAAGCACCUAGACUCCAUAUAAGAGUACUUGUCCUAUGUUAUUUUCAUAAACUACAUUUGUGAUUGUAAAAA
rnacentral:lncRNA from 1 species